AAAACGUUACCAAACAGCCCCGAAGUUUCAGCUGCGCUAAGGAGGUUUCCGAGGCGCAAUUUUGGCUAGUUUUGGCCAAUUUCGGGUAAGGUUCAAAGGACGACGAGGCGAACGAGAUAAAGAGUAACCCGUAAGAGAUAUGUUUCCAGCUAUGUUAUGCUAUACUAUGUUUCACAUACUCAGUACAUAUAUCGUACUGACCCCCUUUCUUCGAGGGGUUGCGUUCAUGCCCGCAGGUACAUAUACACCAUUUGGGGAUCCGCCAGCAUAGGAGUCCCACUCAGCAGUCCGAAAGUGCUCCAUUGUGUUGGAGCCUGAUUUUGGGUACUAAACCUUAUUGUAUAUAUUUGUUUUGCUCACGGGUAUGGCGGGGGCCCUGUCCCACCUUAUGUUACUGUUUUCUUACUCUUAGAGGUCUGUGGAUACGGAUGUGGGUUGUAUGUACGUGGGUUGUAUAUGAGUUGUUUAUGAGUUGUGUAUGAUCUGCAUACGAGUUGUAUACGAGUGGUAGACGAGUUGUAUAUGUAUGUAUGUACAGCUGUACUGAUAUGACUUAUGAUUUAGGGGCGUUCCUU